GCGGGCAUGGCGGAAUCGGUAGACGCAACGGACUUAAAAUCCGUCGGAGUAAUCCAUGCCGGUUCGAGUCCGGCUGCCCGUACCA
rnacentral:tRNA from 1 species